UACGUAGGUGGCAAGCGUUGUCCGGAUUUACUGGGCGUAAAGAGCGCGCAGGCGGUCGAGUAAGUCGAAUGUGAAAGCCCCCGGCUUAACUGGGGAGGGUCAUUCGAUACUGUUCGACUUGAAGGCAGGAGAGGGCAGCAGAAUUCCCGGUGUAGUGGUGAAAUGCGUAGAUAUCGGGAGGAAUACCAGUGGCGAAGGCGGCGACCUGGUCCGUGACUGACGCUGAGGCGCGAAAGCGUGGGGAGCAAACAGG
rnacentral:rRNA from 1 species